AGGUUUAGGUGAGGUUUUUGGUGCUUUGUGGUGUUCCAGCAUGAUUAAGUGUUAUGUGCUAUGUUUGUUUGGGGUUUUAGGGUAGUUUUAGACCCCUUUGUGCAUAUAGAUGUGUAUAUGCUAGUUGGGAGUAGUUGCUAUGCAUGUUUGUAGGUUUUUGGGCAAAGUUUGCAUGAAACAGAGCAGGGUUCUGUCCUUCGGGCAAAACCAGGUUCGGCCGCCGAAGGAAGGUUCGGCCGCCGAACCCUUUGUGGAGGCAGUUCGGCUGCCAAAGGUUGCCCCCGAAAGCAAGGCUUUCGGUUUAGAAAGAGCCUUUCGGCCGCCGAAAGAGGGAGUUCGGCCGCCGAAAGUGUGUGAGUUUCGUCUCUGGACGAGACCUUCGGCCGCCGAAGGUGCCGCCGAACAUGCAUGAGUUUCGUCUCUGGAGUGGGGUUUCGGCCGCCGAACCUGCCGCCGAAAGUGCCCUGUCCAGCUUUCUUUUGCAUGUUUUAUGUGAUGGUUUUAGGAUUGUUUAGAGGGGUUUUGGGGCGUUUCUUAG
rnacentral:lncRNA from 1 species